rnacentral:rRNA from 1 species
GACGAACGCUGGCGGCGUGCUUAACACAUGCAAGUCGAACGGAAAGGCCCUGCUUGCAGGGUACUCGAGUGGCGAACGGGUGAGUAACACGUGGGUGAUCUGCCCUGCACUUCGGGAUAAGCCUGGGAAACUGGGUCUAAUACCGGAUAGGAGCCAUUUUUAGUGUGAUGGUUGGAAAGUUUUUUCGGUGUAGGAUGAGCCCGCGGCCUAUCAGCUUGUUGGUGGGGUAAUGGCCUACCAAGGCGGCGACGGGUAGCCGGCCUGAGAGGGUGGACGGCCACAUUGGGACUGAGAUACGGCCCAGACUCCUACGGGAGGCAGCAGGGGGGAAUAUUGCACAAUGGGCGCAAGCCUGAUGCAGCGACGCCGCGUGGGGGAUGACGGCCUUCGGGUUGUAAACGCCUUUCGCUAGGGACGAAGCUUUUUGUGACGGUACCUAGAUAAGAAGCACCGGCUAACUACGUG